rnacentral:ncRNA from 1 species
UGAGGUAGAGGUUGCGUAAAUCAAGAGUAUCAUAUCGUAUGUGUCAGGCACAGAAGAGGGUAUGAGAAAGGGAGGAGCGCCGAAGGAGAGAUAUGCCUGCACAUAUAUUUCCUGGGCAUAUGGCGAACAGCCAUAUGACUGUCACCAUAAGGUGGAGAGCUACUGGU